UGGGGAAUAUUGCACAAUGGGCGCAAGCCUGAUGCAGCCCAUGCCGCGUGUGUGAAGAAGGCCUUCGGUUGUAAAGCACUUUCAGCGAGGAGGAAGGUGGGUGAACUUAAUACGUUCAUCAAUUGACGUUACUCGCAGAAGAAGCACCGGCUAACUCCGUGCCAGCAGCCGCGGUAAUACGGAGGGUGCAAGCGUUAAUCGGAAUUACUGGGCGUAAAGCGCACGCAGGCGGUUUGUUAAGUCAGAUGUGAAAUCCCCGGGCUCAACCUGGGAACUGCAUUUGAAACUGGCAAGCUAGAGGUCCCGUAGAGGGGGUAGAAUUCCAGGUGUAGCGGUGAAAUGCGUAGAGAUCUGGAGGAAUACCGGUGGCGAAGGCGGCCCCCUGGACGAAGACUGACGCUCAGGUGCGAAAAGCGUGGGGAGCAAACAGGAUUAG
rnacentral:rRNA from 1 species